GGGUCCGGACACACUGAGGAUUGACAGGCAAUAUUAAUACGUUUUGCUUCGGUAAACGCGUAUUAUGUUAAAUAUGCUAGCCCUUUCAUGAUUAUGUGAUAGGUGGUGCAUGGCCGUUCUUAGUUCGUGGAGUGAUCUGUCUGCUUAAUUGCGUUUCACUAAGGGCCUAUAAAUUUACGUGUGUUGCAUCGCACUUUGACCCCUUUCUUUAAUUAGAGAGCGCGUGUCUUAGUUUUCGCUUUGCUCAUACAAUUAGGUCCUGAAAGCAACGAACGUGACCGCAACCUCUUGUUGCCUUUAUACCAAACAUGUUUUGCGUCAAUUUUUACGAAUUGCGCGCAUUUCAUGAAAAAAGGCUUUUUAAACUAGAGGGACCGCUGUUACUUUCUUAAACCAGAGGAAGGUUGCGGCAAUAACAGGUCUGUGAUGCCCUUAGAUGUUCCGGGCUGCACACGUGCUACAAUGAUUAUUGCAGUGAGCAUCUCAUUUUUACACACCGCAUGCGCGAGUCCAUUUAUUCACCUUCGGGUGUUUUAAAUGUGUAUCUCUGCGCGCGGUAAAGCCUGCUUCGACAGUAAGUGGGU
rnacentral:rRNA from 1 species